rnacentral:misc_RNA from 1 species
UUUCUUUAUUUCUAUCAGCAGAGCCAGGUGUUGUUCUCGGUGUCGUAUAGAAUGUAGAAUGUGUAUGUAGAUCUGUGUCGACAUGUUAAGAUUUCUGCACGUAAAACAUUAAACAUAGGAGAUUUGUGUCUGGCCAGCCUGAGAAUAUACAGUAUAAUGCAGAAGCAAGACUCUGUUGACGACUCUUUGUACAGUCGACAACGAUACAUGCUUGGUGAUGAGGCUAUGCACAGUAUUAGUAAAUCUAGAGUUUUCCUUAGUGGACUUGGUGGUGUUGGAAUUGAAAUUGCAAAAAAUGUAGCACUAGCUGGUGUCAAGUCAUUGAUUCUCCAUGAUACAAAACCAGCUACAUAUUUAGAUUUGGGCUCCAAUUUCUUUCUUGAAGAAGAGGAUGUUUUGAUGCAAAAGAACAGGGCAGAAAAAUGUGGACGACGUAUCGCAGAGCUGAAUCCAUACGUUUCAGUACAGACAGAUAUGCGUGAUAUUGAGGANAAUAACUUGGCGUUUUUAACUGAUUAUCAGUGUGUGGUUCUAACAGAUGCCUCACUGAGUUUACAACGUAAAGUUGACAAUUUUUGCCGCACACAAAACCCCCCAAUUCAAUUCAUCAGCUGCAACAUAUUUGGCGUUUUUGCUUCUCUGUUUUGUGACUUUGGCCCUGAAUUUAAAGUUUUGGAUACCUGGACAGAAGAACCGAAGACCUUUUUCAUUGGAAAUAUUUCAAAGGCUAACCCUGGAGUAGUUACGACCCUCGAUAACACAUUUCAUGGGCUGGAAAAAGGAAACACCGUCUUGUUAAAAGAAAUUGUUGGGAUGUCAUCGUUGAAUGAUACCGUUCAAACAGUUACUGAAGUUCUAUCGCCAUAUGCCUUCACAAUAUGUGAUACAAGUGGACCAGAAUUCCAGUCUUAUAUGUAUGGAGGUGUUGGCUGCCUGCAGAAACCACCACCAUUUUAUCUGACAUUCGAAUCUCUAGAAGACCAGUUAGAAAAACCAGACCUUGUAAUAGCAGAUUUCAGUAAAUUAUCUCUUUAUCAAGAACUUCACGUUGGAAUGCAAGCACUGCAUCUAUUUCAGGAAAAGUUUGGACGCCUUCCCUAUAUAAGAAGUCCCAACGAUGCGACAGAGCUUGUACAAAUUGCUUCUACCUUAAAUUCAAGCUCGUCAAUUAAGAAUUGGCAUACAAUACGAUCCUUGUCGUACGUUAGUCAAGGGUAUUUCGCACCACUUUCUGCUUCGAUGGGUGGUGUUGCUGCUCAGGAAGUGUUAAAGGCGCUUACUGGGAAGUUUAAGCCGCUGAAACAAUGGCUAUAUCUUGAUACAGUAGAAAUAUUAAAACAACAAGGAGAUCUUGUCGAUACAUCUUCAUUUACUCCACGAUCAGAUCGUUAUGAUUCGUUAAGAAUAUGUAUAGGAGAAGAUUUAAUAAACAAGCUUCACAACUCUAAACUUUUCAUGGUUGGAUGUGGUGCUAUCGGAUGCGAAUUUUUAAAGAACUUUGCCCUUUUGGGAGUUUCUACUGGAAUUAAUGGACAGCUCACCAUAACAGACAAUGAUGUCAUCGAAAAAUCUAACCUGAACAGGCAAUUUCUNUUUCGCUCCCGGGAUAUUCAGAAACCAAAGUCAAGUACAGCUGCAGAAUCGGCAAAAGAAAUUAAUCCAAAGGUACAGAUAAAAGCCAUUCUUUGCAAAGUCUCUCCAGAAACGGAGUCAAUUUUUAGCAGCGAAUUCUUUGAGUCGCAAGACUUGGUGGUAAAUGCUUUGGACAAUAUUGAAGCCAGGCGAUAUGUUGACAGUCGAUGUGUACAAAGCAAAAGAGGUCUUUUAGAAACUGGAACAAUGGGCGCUAAAGGACACGUUCAAAUCAUAGUUCCACACCUAACGGAGAAUUAUGCAAGUCAGCGUGACCCAGAAGACGAAGAAGUUCCAUUUUGUACACUGAAAUCCUUCCCUUCUGUUAUUGAGCACACUAUACAAUGGGCAAGAGAUAAGUUUGAAAAUUUAUUUGUCCAAAAAGUUGAGUUCUUCAAUAAAUUUUGGGCGCAACAUAAAACACUGGAAAACUUCAUUAAGAACAUUGAUUCCCUUGAUGAAAUAGAGGGGCUUGUAAUUGUGACAAAAAUGUUAAAGAAUCGUCCUCAGUCAUGGUCUGACUGCGUCGCAUUUGCAAGAAACAAGUUUGAAAAGUAUUUUAAUCAUAAGGCAAAGCAUCUUCUCCUUGCAUUCCCUCAAGAUACGAAGCUAAGCGAUGGCUCUCCNUUUUGGAAGAGUCCAAAGAGACCACCGACUCCACAAGAAUUCGACAUCAAUGACGAACUGCACUUAAUGUUUUUGGUCAGCGCCAGUAGACUGUUUGCCGACAUACAUUUGAUUCAGUACUCACAAGAGGAUCUUUCUGCUGGCGAAUUAACAAAAAUCGNGCAGUAUGUAAAUAUAACGCCAUUUGUGACAUCCAAGAAAGAAAUAUGGACCAAAGANGACAAACCCACUACAACAGCUGUCAAGUCUGAUGACAGAGAUCUGGACAAACUUAAAAAUGAACUAAAGAGACUAUGUUCAUCAUACAGUACUCUUUCUGAAAUAUCGAAAGUAAGGCCUCUAAAGUUUGAAAAAGACGAUGACAAUAAUGGCCAUAUCGACUUCAUAACAUCAUCAGCUAACCUGCGAGCGCGGAUGUACAACAUAGAACCGGUAGAUCGUUUAAAGGUUAAGAAAAUAGCAGGGAAAAUAAUUCCAGCAAUUGCUACAACUACAGCAGCCGUCGCAGGAUUGGCAACUAUUGAGCUGGUGAAGUUUGUGAUGAAAACUUCCCNUACUGAUUACCGAAAUUGUUUUAUGAAUCUUGCCUUACCUUACAUCAUUUUUUCUGAGCCGGGACCAGCUAAAAUGAUCCCUAUAAAGUUUAACAUAUUCUAUCUGGGAUCACUGGACGAUACGAGGAAAUAUGGAUUACACCCUAAGAGAUUUUAUCAACUACUUCAAGGACUGUUAUGGGCUUGAAGUAACGAUGGUUGUACAAGGCGUUAAGUUGAUCUUCAUCCCAAUAAUGCCAGGUCACAUGAAGAGACUAGACAUAAGAAUGACGGAUUUGGUCAGAGCAAGUCCAUCUCAGAAGUACAUUAGUCUAACUGUAUCGUUUGCGUCUACUAUUGACAAAGAAGAUGAUGUAGCAGGACCACCAAUACGGUAUUUUCUUUACUGAAUCCUGUGGUC